rnacentral:rRNA from 1 species
AGUGAACGCUGGCGGUAGGCCUAACACAUGCAAGUCGAACGGCAGCACAGUAAGAGCUUGCUCUUACGGGUGGCGAGUGGCGGACGGGUGAGGAAUACAUCGGAAUCUACUUUUUCGUGGGGGAUAACGUAGGGAAACUUACGCUAAUACCGCAUACGACCUACGGGUGAAAGCAGGGGAUCUUCGGACCUUGCGCGAUUGAAUGAGCCGAUGUCGGAUUAGCUAGUUGGCGGGGUAAAGGCCCACCAAGGCGACGAUCCGUAGCUGGUCUGAGAGGAUGAUCAGCCACACUAGAACUGAGACACGGUCCAGACUCCUACGGGAGGCAGCAGUGGGGAAUAUUGGACAAUGGGCGAAAGCCUGAUCCAGCCAUACCGCGUGGGUGAAGAAGGUCUUCGGGUUGUAAAGCCCUUUUGUUGGGAAAGAAAAGCAGCAGGUUAAUACCCCGCUGUUCUGACGGUACCCAAAGAAUAAGCACCGGCUAACUUCGUG